UCUGUGCGGCGAUUACCCUACAACUUGUAGUGUUACUCGCGAGUUUUUCCUUAUGAGCUUGUUUGAGUGUCAACCCAGGUUAAGAAGGAAAGAAUGUCUUAACGCCCUAUUCAGUUAGUUUGCUUUAAACAGAUUAACAGAGGGCUGGUGAUUCUUACAUUU
rnacentral:snoRNA from 1 species